rnacentral:rRNA from 1 species
ACCGGAGGAAGGUGGGGAUGACGUCAAAUCAUCAUGCCCCUUAUGACCUGGGCUACACACGUGCUACAAUGGAUGGUACAAAGGGCUGCAAGACCGCGAGGUUAAGCGAAUCCCAUAAAACCAUUCUCAGUUCGGAUUGCAGGCUGCAACUCGCCUGCAUGAAGCUGGAAUCGCUAGUAAUCGCGGAUCAGCAUGCCGCGGUGAAUACGUUCCCGGGCCUUGUACACACCGCCCGUCACACCACGAGAGUUUGUAACACCCGAAGUCGGUGGGGUAACCCGGGGCAAAACUUAACCUCUUAUCAUAUUUAUAGGAAGUUAAGUUUUGCCUUGGGAGCCAGCCGCCUAAGGUGGGACAGAUGAUUGGGGUGAAGUCGUAACAAGGUAGCCGUAUCGGAAGGUGCGGCUGGAUCACCUCCUUUCUA